AAGAAGCGGAAACGGUGCGGGGUGUGCGUGCCCUGCAAGCGGCUCAUCAACUGUGGAGUCUGCAGCAGUUGCAGGAACCGCAAAACGGGACACCAGAUCUGCAAGUUUAGGAAAUGCGAAGAGCUUAAGAAAAAGCCGGGCACGUCGCUAGAGAGAACACCUGUUCCCAGCGCUGAAGCAUUCCGAUGGUUCUUUUAAGCAGUAGUGUAUCUUAUUUUCAAGGCAGUCCGAAGUGAAUGGCAAGCUAAAGUCUUGUUUUAAGAAACUGCUUAGUCCACCAUUGAAGAAUAUACUCAGAUACUAUUUUCAUUUAUGUAUAGGGGUUUCCUCAAAAAACAAACCACAAAAAAUCUGGGAGCCUGGGGAAUUGGCCGAUUGAUCCACAUUAAGUACUCCGAUUCUUUCUUUGAUGUAACUUAGCUAUACUAGUGAAGUUGUUGUCUAUUUUUAAAGUGGCUG